AUGAGAGGAUGCACGUUACCAACGUUACCACCGUGAUGUGCUUUCGAAACGGUUUUAUGGUUUUAAACCAAAUUGCACUCCUACCCAAAACAAUAGUGCAAAGAGUGCGGUGGGUUAGAUGUGGGGGGACACGGUUGAGAGAUCAACUCUAAAACAAAUUAUAAAAAAAAAAAAGAAAUCAAAAGCAUUACAUCACAUCACAGGGGUGCAAACAAGUCAAGCCAAGUCCAAGCAUGACUAACUUAUGAGAGCUCAGGCUCGGUUCAGUUCGAGCUUUAUUUUCAAAGCUAGAGCUCGGCUCGUUGGAAGUUUCUCAUGCUUGAGCUUGGCUCAUGCUCGACUCGUUUAUUAUAUAUUAAUGAACUAGUCUAAGUCCCCGUGUAAUACACGGGUGGCUAAACAACAAAAAAAAUUUAUACUUUAAUAUGUAUAAAUACUUUAUUACAGGUUUGUUCGAAUAUUAAGAUAAAUAAUAUCUUAUAAAAAUUAAUUAAUGAUUACAUUUCAUAUUAAUUAUCAUGUAUACGUCUAUAAAUAAUUUUUUGAAAUGAAAGAAAUGUUGUAUUAAAUCUAUAAAAAAAAAUAAAUUGGAUUUAAAUCACAAACCCGCUUUUCCCACUUUUAUAUAAAAGUAGUUAACUCUUACCUAAUAAAAAAUGUCCAUAUUAAAUCACAAACCCGCUUUUCCCACUUUUAUAUAAAAGCAUCAAAUUGCAUAUUUAUGUAUAAUUAAUAGUAAUUAUGUUACAUCAAAUGGUU
rnacentral:lncRNA from 1 species